GGGUGAGUAACACGUGGAUAACCUACCUAUAAGACUGGGAUAACUUCGGGAAACCGGAGCUAAUACCGGAUAAUAUUUUGAACCGCAUGGUUCAAAAGUGAAAGACGGUCUUGCUGUCACUUAUAGAUGGAUCCGCGCUGCAUUAGCUAGUUGGUAAGGUAACGGCUUACCAAGGCAACGAUGCAUAGCCGACCUGAGAGGGUGAUCGGCCACACUGGAACUGAUACACGGUCCAG
rnacentral:rRNA from 1 species